AUUGAACGCUGGCGGCAGGCCUAACACAUGCAAGUCGAACGGUAACAGGAAGAAGCUCGCUUCUUUGCUGACGAGUGGCGGACGGGUGAGUAAUGUCUGGGAAACUGCCUGAUGGAGGGGGAUAACUACUGGAAACGGUAGCUAAUACCGCAUAACGUCGCAAGACCAAAGAGGGGGACCUUCGGGCCUCUUGCCAUCGGAUGUGCCCAGAUGGGAUUAGCUAGUAGGUGGGGUAACGGCUCACCUAGGCGACGAUCCCUAGCUGGUCUGAGAGGAUGACCAGCCACACUGGAACUGAGACACGGUCCAGACUCCUACGGGAGGCAGCAGUGGGGAAUAUUGCACAAUGGGCGCAAGCCUGAUGCAGCCAUGCCGCGUGUAUGAAGAAGGCCUUCGGGUUGUAAAGUACUUUCAGCGGGGAGGAAGGGAGUAAAGUUAAUACCUUUACUCAUUGACGUUACCCGAAGAAGAAGCACCGGCUAACUCCGUG
rnacentral:rRNA from 1 species